rnacentral:rRNA from 1 species
GACGUAGGGCGCGAGCGUUGUCCGGAUUUAUUGGGCGUAAAGAGCUCGUAGGCGGCUUGUCGCGUCGACCGUGAAAACUCGCAGCUCAACUGCGAGCCUGCGGUCGAUACGGGCAGGCUAGAGUUCGGUAGGGGAGACUGGAAUUCCUGGUGUAGCGGUGAAAUGCGCAGAUAUCAGGAAGAACACCCGUGGCGAAGGCGGUUCUCUGGGACGGUACUGACGCUGAGACGCGAAAGCGUGGGGAGCGAACAGG